CCCCGGAUGUAUCCGGGGCUGAAUGUACCUGAAGAAUAAGCAUCGGCUAACUCCGUGCCAGCAGCCGCGGUAAUACGGAGGAUGCGAGCGUUAUCCGGAUUCAUUGGGUUUAAAGGGUGCGCAGGCGGAUUAUUAAGUCAGUGGUGAAAUCUACAGCUCAACUGUAGAACUGCCAUUGAUACUGAUAAUCUUGAGUGUAUAUGAAGUGGGCGGAAUGUAGCAUGUAGCGGUGAAAUGCAUAGAUAUGAUACAGAACACCAAUUGCGAAGGCAGCUCACUAAACUACAACUGACGCUCAUGCACGAAAGCGUGGGGAUCAAACAGGAUUAGAUACCCUGGUAGUCCACCGCCGUAAAGCGAUGAUUAGCU
rnacentral:rRNA from 1 species